CAAUAGCGUAUAUUUAAGUUGCUGCAGUUAAAAAGCUCGUAGUUGGAUUUCGGGUGGGAAUGGCCGGUCCGCCGUUUCGGUGUGCACUUGCUACGCCCACCUUGCUGCCGGGGACGUGCUCUUGAGUUCACGCUCGGGACACGGAGUCGGCGAGGUUACUUUGAGUAAAUUAGAGUGUUCAAAGCAGGCCUACGCUCUGAAUACAUUAGCAUGGAAUAACACGAUAGGACUCUGGCCUAUCUUGUUGGUCUGUAGGACCGGAGUAAUGAUUAAGAGGGACAGUCGGGGGCAUUCGUAUUUCAUUGUCAGAGGUGAAAUUCUUGGAUUUAUGAAAGACGAACUACUGCGAGAGCAUUUGCCAAGGAUGUUUUCAUUAA
rnacentral:rRNA from 1 species